rnacentral:antisense_RNA from 1 species
AUUCUGAAGACUGACUGAGCGUGGAAGUUGCUCAACAAAAAAAGGAACGGGUAUAUUGAGUCUUGCUCUAUUGCCCAGGCUGCAACUGGUGUGAUCUUGGCUCACUACAACCUCUGCCUCCUGGGUUCAAGCGAUUCUCCUGCCUCAAGCUCCCAAGUAGCUGGGAUUACAAGCAUGCACCACCAUGCCUGGCUAAUUUUUGUAUUUUUAGUGGAGACGGGGUUUCGCCACAUUGGCCAGGGUGGUCUUGAACUCCUGACCUCAAGUGAUCCACCUGCCUUGGCCUCCCAAAGUGCUGGGAUUAUAAGCAUGAGCCACUGCACCCAGCCUUAUACUGAACUUUCAAUGGGUUCAAUUCCACUAGGAGCAUAAAGGCCACUGCAUAUGAGUUGUGGAAAGAAGAGAUUAGAAGAAGGAAGAACUUGAGAUGAGUUCCUCCCUUCAACAUUCUGUCUCCUCCUACCUAGCAUCUUCUUUCUUUUAGUCUUUCUAGAAUGUCCAUCUGUUUUUGGCCAUUGCGGAAAGAGAAGCUGAGCUUUAAAGGCGUAGGAGCUUCAAAGGCGUA